rnacentral:rRNA from 1 species
CCUACGGGUGGCAGCAGUGAGGAAUAUUGGUCAAUGGGCGCGAGUCUGAACCAGCCAAGUAGCGUGAAGGAUGACUGCCCUAUGGGUUGUAAACUUCUUUUAUAUGGGAAUAAAGUGUUCCACGUGUGGCUUUUUGUAUGUACCUUAUGAAUAAGGAUCGGCUAACUCCGUGCCAGCAGCCGCGGUAAUACGGAGGAUCCGAGCGUUAUCCGGAUUUAUUGGGUUUAAAGGGAGCGUAGGUGGAUUGUUAAGUCAGUUGUGAAAGUUUGCGGCUCAACCGUAAAAUUGCAGUUGAUACUGGCAGUCUUGAGUACAGUAGAGGUGGGCGGAAUUCGUGGUGUAGCGGUGAAAUGCUUAGAUAUCACGAAGAACUCCGAUUGCGAAGGCAGUUCACUGGACUGCAACUGACAUUGAGGCUCGAAAGUGUGGGUAUCAAACAGGAUUAGAUACCCGAGUAGUC